rnacentral:rRNA from 1 species
GGGUGAGUAAUAUAUCGGAACGUGCCCAAUCGUGGGGGAUAACGUAGAGAAAUUUACGCUAAUACCGCAUACGAUCUAAGGAUGAAAGCGGGGGACUCGCAAGAGCCUCGCGCGAUUGGAGCGGCUGAUAUCAGAUUAGCUUGUUGGUGAGGUAAAAGCUCACCAAGGCGACGAUCUGUAGCUGGUUUGAGAGAACGACCAGCCACACUGGGACUGAGACACGGCCCAGACUCCUACGGGAGGCAGCAGUGGGGAAUUUUGGACAAUGGGCGAAAGCCUGAUCCAGCAAUGCCGCGUGUGGGAAGAAGGCCUUCCGGUUGUAAACCACUUUUGUACGGAACGAAACGGUCUGCCCUAAUACGGUGGGCUAAUGACGGUACCGUAAGAAUAAGCACCGGCUAACUACGUGCCAGCAGCCGCGG